rnacentral:rRNA from 1 species
UCAAUAAGCGGAGGAAAAGAAACCAACAGGGAUUGCCCCAGUAACGGCGAGUGAAGCGGCAACAGCUCAAAUUUGAAAUCUGGGCCCCAGGCCCGAGUUGUAAUUUGCAGAGGAUGCUUUUGGCGCGGUGCCUUCCGAGUUCCCUGGAACGGGACGCCAUAGAGGGUGAGAGCCCCGUACGGUUGGACACCAAGCCUUUGUAAAGCUCCUUCGACGAGUCGAGUAGUUUGGGAAUGCUGCUCAAAAUGGGAGGUAUAUUUCUUCUAAAGCUAAAUAUUGGCCAGAGACCGAUAGCGCACAAGUAGAGUGAUCGAAAGAUGAAAAGCACUUUGAAAAGAGGGUUAAACAGCACGUGAAAUUGUUGAAAGGGAAGCGCUUGUGACCAGACUUGCGCCCGGUGAAUCACCCAGCUCUCGCGGCUGGGGCACUUUGCCGGCACAGGCCAGCAUCAGCUUGCCGUCGGGGACAAAAGCUUCGGGAACGUAGCUCUCUUCGGGGAGUGUUAUAGCCCGUUGCAUAAUACCCUUCGGCGGGCUGAGGUACGCGCUCCGCAAGGAUGCUGGCGUAAUGGUCAUCAGCGACCCGUCUUGAAACACGGACCAAGGAGUCAACCUUAUGUGCGAGUGUUUGGGUGUUAAACCCCUACGCGUAAUGAAAGUGAACGCAGGUGAGAGCUUCGGCGCAUCAUCGACCGAUCCUGAUGUUCUCGGAUGGAUUUGAGUAAGAGCAUAUAGGGUUGGACCCGAAAGAAGGUGAACUAUGCGUGUAUAGGGUGAAGCCAGAGGAAACUCUGGUGGAGGCUCGCAGCGGUUUCUGACGUGCAAAUCGAUCGUCAAAUAUGCGCAUGGGGCGAAAGACUAAUCGAACCUUCUAGUAGCUGG